UCCCAGUACCUACCAUACUGCUUCUGUUUGGUUACCAACAGUUUCAGCCAGGGUCACAACACCAUUUAAAAAACACACGAGCAAGACUCCGGCGUUACAGCACCUUUGCAGAAGGAUAUACAGGCCCUGCAUAUGUCAGCUCAGUUACAGGAUGAAUGGACCCUUGGUGCAUGACUCACAAGCUCUUUGCUUCAAAGUAGGACGUGUGCAAACAAUGAGAGCUCAAUCUAUCCCUCUGUCCUGAAGAGGUGACAAGAGACUUCCCUGAUGUCGCACGUUGAAGAACUGAGAAAAGAGCUCACAUCGGCUCCACCAGGCCCUUGCUUCUUUCCCAACCGAUUUCUUCCAAUGUAUGACUCUAGUAAAGGCUCAAAUGUGUCAUCGUUUUGCCAGUCCCACAGCAUAUACACAUUCCCAUAGUUUCAUGGUCUCUGGGCAGUGAGACUUCCCAGGGGCAGCACUGCCUGGGUUUAGUUUCCUUUGGAUGAGAGAGAACUGGAGACCUGUGGCUUUUUUGAAAUACUUGCUUUUAAAAACAAACAUACAAGUCAAGUGGGUACAAAUAGCAAGCCCAGUUCGUUAUUUCAUUCAAAUACAGAGAUUUUGAACUGUCACUUAAUCAUGAGCUCCCACUGAGGAAAUAUCGUUAGUGACUAUGAACCAGUGAUCUGGCUAAUAAAGGAAAAAGUUGGGCAGGUACCCUAACUCUAUGUUAGCAAUGAUUUGUCUCUAAAGGUAGGCAAACGUUAGAACAGUGUCAGGUCUCCAUCAACAUCAAGCUAAAUAGACAUUAUGCAAUAAAUUACAGAUGAUACUCCCAGCAGAAUUUUUUGCUGUGGCAGCAGGUAGUACUUGAAAGCAUCCUCAUAUCUGUUUUUUGUGUGUGUUGAGUCAUCCUGUUUCUUGUAGGAAAGUCCUUUGAAUGUAGAGCCUUCCAUUAUUUUUGAAUCCGCAGUCAUUUGCACACACAAAUACACAUUGCUCAGUGCUGCUAAGUUGCACUUUGCUAUGAAUCAGAACAUUUCUGCCUGGCCUUAAGAAUGCAGCUGUAGGAGAAAACACAAGACAUAGGAAAAGUCAUAGCAUGUCAGUAUCAAACAGGGAGGCAAUGGGCAAAAAUGGAACAGAUUCGACUUCAUCAACUGCCACAGAUGCCAACAUUAAAGUCUUUUACCUGGAAAGGGCUGAGUGGAAGCCUCAAAAAGUAACAACCUGCCAGUUAUUCAGAUUGUAAGCCUGGUGAGGCAUGGGGGACAGGGUGCAUUCUUGCA